AACUUUCCCGCGAACCUGAAGUUACCAUGGGGCGGGAGCCACCUUAGCGCCGCGUCCGCCCGCCCCUCGCACCGGCUAGGAUGCUGCGGAAGGCAGGGGCGCCGAGAGGCAAGGGUGAAAGACGCCGUCCAUACCCCCAAAGCCCGAACCUGCAUCUCCUCUGCGAGGCGCAGGGCGGGAGGACCGCUGCAGUUGGGAGCCGGCUCCGGACAGGCAAAGCGACCCGACAGGUAACCUUCCACAGGCCCACACAUGUGUUAUCAGCCAUACCUUAGGACAGAAGGAAUGAGUUUGCAGAAAGGAUGCUCUUCAGAACUCAUGAAGACAUAAGGUGCUUCAAAAGAGGAGACUUUCGGAACAUGAGCAGGGAAAUUGUCACUUGAUAGAUGACAAGCAUUGUGAGAAACAACAGUUUGCCUUUCUUCAUUCCCUUCCUGGUUAUCUUUCCUGUCACAUGAAGAAGAAAUGAAACACCAGAGAGAAUCAGGUUAUCAUCAUCUACACCAGCCACUGUCACUGGCCUUCAAAGUUCAACCUCCCUGGAACUCCAGAACUCCCCACUUUAUAAGAUGAAUGGCUAAUUGGAUCCUAGUACAUAAGGAAACACUGGCAAAAUAGCGCCCUACAACCAUACUGAGAAUUUAGCCCUGGGGACAUCUUCCGAUAUAAUCUGGCAUAGAAGAGUGGUUAUCACACCUUUAGCAUGGGACCCUUGAGACACCUUUGCUGUGAAUAAUGGAGAAGCAAAAGGAGUUACUAAUGAAGACAAACUAAACCUGAGAACAGAGAGAGCCUAACUAUGUGCUCCAGAAGUGCCAUGUGUGUCUAAGGUAGGUCCAAAGGUAUGAGUCUAGAGAUAUUAUGUAUAAAACACCUAAUUGAAUGUCAAAAAAUCCAUAGAAGCUUAAUAAUUGGUAGCAAUUAUUAUUACUCAUUAGUGUGGGGGCUGGGAAGAUGACAACAGAGUAUAACUUGGAGGGUUGGUGUAGAGCAAUUAGCUAGCAACUGUAGUUUGAAUUUCCAUGAAGUAGUUCCCUUAAUUGUGUACACACAAACACAUCAAAACUGAAACCACAGCUAUGUGAUUUAAUAAUGUUGCACGUUUAGACAUGAUACAAGGCACUUUUGCCUACAUUAUCUUUCUGUGAGUUUAACAUUAGACCUGGUAUAAUUAUCCUAAAUUUACUACUAGAGAAUUUAGUUUGAAAAGUCAUGCAACUUUUCUAAAGAAUUUUUUCUGAUUUAAUAACACCAAUCAAUGAAUUAAUCAAUCAACUGUUCUGGCCAUUAAAUGUGUGAGAAAAAAAAGUCAGUGUAUUAAUUAUAAUUAUAUACCGAGACUUGGCUCUGUGUGUUUCACAAAAUAAGUAUAAAGUAUCAAAUUUGUUAUAAAUGUGUGACCCAUUAAAAGAAAAAAAAACUUGAUAGAUGUGUAUUUGGUAACAGCUUUUUAGAAAAUUUUUUGAACAUUUAUGAUGUUCAGAAAAGAACAGUGAUCAGUGUGCUAAAUUAAAUUACUUGAAUAAAUUAUGGAGAAAAAGUUCUGAUUUUUGUGCAAGGUUUGCAUUCUGGAUUGAGGUCCAGUUCUUUUUGAAGUAUCUGAAAUCAAACAUAUAUUUCCAAACCCUGAGGACUGAUUUCCUUCUGAAGACCACCCUCUCUUCUAUUUGAGGAACUCCAUAUUCCUUCUUGUAACACUACUCUGAUUCUAUAUCAAGCAAUCUUGGCCUUGUUAAGAUAAGAAAGUUGCCUUAAGCACUUUCCAAAGCUUUCCUACAUUCACUGUUGGUGGAUGGUGUCCCUACCCUACUUGUUCCCCUGCAGAACCUCAGAUUGGAGAUAUAAGGGGUGAAAUAACAGCCAAGUACCUCAGAGCUAAGUACUUUACAUAUAACUCAUUUAAUCCUCACAGCAUUGCUAUGGAACAAGUACUAUUAUUCAUCCCAGUUUACAGAUAGAAACUAAGGCAGAGAAAGGUUAAAUAAUCAAAGUUUACCUACUAGAUAACAGAGUGGGGGUAGAAACCAAGCCAUUCUGGCUUUUCCUGCUUGUAACACCAGGGUGGUAAAGGUGAAAAUUUGGGUUCAUUCUCACAGAGAAGAGGUUAUUAAGGCUCAGACUGGACAGAUAGCAUGGGAAUGAUGAGCAAGCAGGAAAUUUAAGAGUCAGAUCUUAGAAAAAUAUGACAAAGCCUAGAGACUGGCAACUGACAUGAUCUGAGAAAAGUGAGGAGGCCAGUGUUCCUUGUUUGGAAACAGGAGGAAUAAUGGGACCACUGGUUGAAAUGGAGUGCAAAUGUCUUAUAAGAAAAGGAAAAAAAUGACACCAACUUGACCCUCAAGUAUAUUUUGAGUAUAUUCUAUUUCUCUUUUCAUUAGAAGAAAUUUAAUUUGAGAAAUGAAUAGAGAAAGAAAGGGGAAAGGAGAAUGUUUCAAAGAAUAAGGUUAAAGUCAUCACAGCUUGACAGCAAUCUAAAAGUCAAAAAGUAUGCCAGAAUAGCAGGUAUUUGAGACCCACUGUUCGAAACAAUUUUAUUUUAAACACAUGUGGUUCCUUAAUGAUACUGGUAGCAUGGUGGUUGUGCAGCCCGCCUUUAGCAGGAAGUGCUGAUUUGCUUAAUUCUAUUAAGCCUAUAAGAAAGGUAAAUCUGUCUCCUGAACUUAAGGGGCCUCUGCUCUAAAGUAAGUUUGACAUUGGCCAAUAAUCACCCUGACAUUCUUGUGGCUUUGGCUGCUCUUGAAGCUGCUGAAUUGCACCAAGAGAAGAGGCUGAGUGAGAAAGCCUGGUUAUAGCAAUGGCCCAUCCUGUCAGUGCUGGGAGUGGGUACUAUACUCAAAGCAGUAUAAAUACAGAUGCUGCACAUUAUGCUCUGCUAUGCUGGCUGCCUUUGGGAUGAUUGUUGGGAAAGUUCUUGAAGCCAGUGGUGUUAGAGGGGACAGUGUGCUUCUUGAAACAAAAGAGUUGAUGGUGAGAAUGGUCUUUGAAAACUGUACUCUUUACAAAGGUGAACUCUGCAAACUGGGCCUACUGAAAGAAAUAGGGAUUCUAUUUUCAUUACUGUUUUAUCAUCAAAAUACCAUAAGGCCUGGCCCUUAGCAAAUAGUCCUUAAAUAUCUGAUACCAUUAGAAGCUUGCUUCUAUGAAGGGUGAUCACCCAUCCCAGUUUGCGUGGGACAGUCUUAGUUUACAUUAUUGUCCUUGCAUCCUGUUCAGCUGGUAUAUAUCCAAGUCUCUUAAUUUUUAUUCAAGUAUUAUUAUUAAUAGUUGUACAAAAAUAAGUCAGAAUAAGUUUGGUAGACCUCUACUUUAUUUCCAGCUUCUGUCAUUUUCUUCCUGGUAGUAGGUAUGAGACAUAUAUACAUGGAAAGAUAAUCAGCAGUAGCCUAUCUCUCUCCCUUUAAUUUUUUAAAGAACUUUCCAGAUUCAAGAAUGGACAAGGCACUCAGUUAUGAGCAACAAAUUCCUUUUGUCUUGGAGAUCAUGGAAGAAGUAUUAGAUGCUGCUCCCCUUAGUGUAACAGCCAGUUUUGUUGCAGCCUGUGGGGCCUGCAAGCUACACAAAACCACCAGGAUCCUAGAAGAGUCACUAGGAAACGUAGAGUAUUAUAGCUAGAUAAACAUCAUCACAUAUGUGUAAAAGAUAGAGACUGAACAGUCCAGUCUUAAAAUGUAUAGCAAAGUAGUUUGAAUGCUCUUGUUACAGUGAUUUUGUCAUCUACCAAUUUUAAGUGUGUAGUGAUUUAUCUAUCACAUUAUUUGGCAAUACUUUCUGAAUUUUGCAAUACAUGCAACAAUGACCUAAAAAAUGAAAGUGCAUGUUUAAUUUAAAAAUUAAAAGUAAAGCCAGGCGCAGUGGCUCACACCUGUAAUCCCAGCACUUUGGGAGGCUGAGGCGGGCGGAUUACCUGAGGUCGGGAGUUCAAGACCAGCCUGACCAACAUGGAGAAACCCUGUCUCUACUAAAAAUACAAAAUUGACUGGGCGUGGUGGUGCAUGCCUGUGGUCCCAGCUACUUGGGAGGCCGAAGCAGGAGAAUUGCUUGAACCUGGGAGGCGGAUGUUGCGGUGAGUGGAGAUCGCGCCAUUGCACUCCAGCCUGGGCAACAAGAGCAAAACUCUGUCUCAAAAAAAAAAAAAAAAA
rnacentral:lncRNA from 1 species